CCUACGGGAGGCAGCAGUGGGGAAUUUUGCGCAAUGGGCGAAAGCCUGACGCAGCAACGCCGCGUGUGUGAUGAAGGUCUUUGGAUUGUAAAGCACUUUCGACCGGGACGCGGUACCGGGAGAAAAAGCACCGGCUAACUCUGUGCCAGCAGCCGCGGGAAUACAGAGGGGGCAAGCGUUGUUGGGAAUUAUUGGGCGUAAAGCGCGGGUAGGCGGCUUUGCAAGUCGGAUGUGAAAGCCCGCGGCUCAACCGGGGAAGUGCGUUCGAAACUGGAGAGCUUGAGUGCCGGAGAGGGUGGCGGAAUUCCCCAAGUAGAGGUGAAAUUCGUAGAUAUGGGGAGGAACACCGGGGCGAAGGCGGCCACCUGGACGUACUGACGCUGAGACGCGAAAGCGUGGGUAGCAAACAGGAUUAGAUACCCCUGUAGUC
rnacentral:rRNA from 1 species